rnacentral:rRNA from 1 species
AGCUCCAAUAGCGUAUAUUAAAGUUGUUGCGGUUAAAAAGCUCGUAGUUCGAGUUCAGUUCCGGACUGGCCGGGGAGGUCACCGCCCGGUGCUUCCCCGUCAGGCUCCGAACAGCUUCCGUGAGUGGAAGCCAAGCCGGUUCUGCCGGGGUGCUCUUUACCGAGUGUCCCGCGCGGCCGGCCAGUUCACCUUGAAUAAAUGAGAGUGCUCAAAGCAGGCUACUCUCGAAUACAAUGCCCGAAUGUUACCUGCAUGGAAUGAUGGAAGAUGAUCUCGGUUCCAUUUUCUUGGUGGUGGGAGCCAGAGGUAAUGAUAAAGAGGGACUGUCGGGGGCAUCCGUACUACGACGCGAGAGGUGAAAUUCAGUGACCGUCGUAGGACGAACAACAGCGAAAGCAUUUGCCAAGAAUGUCUUCG